rnacentral:rRNA from 1 species
AAACUGGCAUUACCGAGUGUGGGGUUCCUAGCGAGCCCGACCUCCCGACCCGUGUUUGACUGUGACCUUAGUUGCUUCGGCGGGCCCGCCAUUCAUGGCCGCCGGGGGCUCUCAGCCCCGGGCCCGCGCCCGCCGGACACACCACGAACUCUGUCUGAUCUAGUGAAGUCUGAGUUGAUUGAAUCGCAAUCAGUUAAAACUUUCAACAAUGGAUCUCUUGGUUCCGGCAUCGAGGAACAACGCAUCGAAAUGCGAUAACUAGUGUGAAUUGCACAAUUCCAUGAAUCAUCUAGUCUUUGAACGCACAUUGCGCCCCCUGGUAUUCCGGGGGGCAUGCCUGUCCGAGCGUCAUUGCUGCGCAUCAAGCACGGCUUGAGUGUUGGGUCGUCGUCCCCUACCUCGGGGGGACGGACCCAGUUCGUGGUGUCUCCAGCGGGUGCGAUCCUGGAGCUGAUGAGCCUUUGGCACCCAUGAAUGGCGGGCCCGCCGAAGCUUGUAAAGUACAGUAAACACUUUUUGGGAGGUGACGCUCGAUAAGAACCCUACACUCGCUAAUGAUCCUUCCACAGUUUCACCUACGGAA